UAGAAUUUCUCGUAGGCAUUCUUUUUAUGCGUUUUAAUGUUAUCCCUUGAUUCAUUAGCUUGGUAAACUUCAUGAGAUGGUAACUUGACUAAAGAUACUUUGGAGAAGCGGGGAGUGAGGCGGUGUGUAUACGAGGAGUUUGUCGGUGUAUGUGUGCGUGAGUGUAGGUGUAAGAACACACCUCCGUUCAAGGGGCUUUGGAGUGUCUGCCGGUGCGACAGCGGAGGAAGGUGAGUCCAUGAGACUGUGGCGCGGCCACACGCGAAGUUGUGAAGGCUGUCUGAAAUAACCUUUGGGGAGCGAGUCCCAGGUGCCGGUUUCUGACAACCGGACGGUUCUGUCUCUGCAAAGCAGAGCUUCUGAGGCUGCCUGUAUCCUGGCUGCUCCGUUAGUGUCUGAGUCACUGGGUUAGUGGUUGUCGAAGUGUCGCCCAGAUCAACUGUAGAUCUCCCAGCCCCGCGAGCCCAGCCAUAGGCCCCGCGUCGCCGCAGCCUCCCGGCGAGGCCCGGAUACAGAAUGCUGGGGGCGGCGUCCAGAGAUGGAGGUGAGGUGACCGCUGGGGACCUCCCUUCCCCCCUCCCCCCAGCCCUCCAGCCCACCGUCUCCAGACUCAGUCCUUUCCCUCUCCUGGAAUUCCAGCAGCUUUCUUUUUACCCCCGGCAGCUGGGAGAACCAGAGAGUGGCCCCUUGUGUCCCUUGGAAUAGGCGUGCCACGGUGUGGUCGCACAUGCUCUCAGGCCUGCGCGAUGCAGCGCGCGCGCGCGGGUCUUGGUCUUCGCGCAUUCGCUCUUCGAAAAAUCGAACUCUGAAGGUCCGAGCGCACGGGGGCGCCUGGGGGUCUGGACUCCCAGGGUUUUCGGGAGGCUGCAGCAACCAAACCUGCGCACCUCGAAGGGGAGGUCAAAUCCCCGAAGGCCUUGAAGCCGUGGGGGUAGGGCGAGUUAUUAAUGACUCCGCGCUGGGCCUAAUGCCUCCAACCCCCAGCGGCGAUUGGCGUGGAUGUCCUGUGGAUUUUAUUUGCACACAAUGGAAAUGAUUUGUUUUCUCUAAAAAAGGAGUGGGCUUGGCAGAUAUUUGAGGAGGGGGUGGGAGGAGAAGGAAAGAGAGAGAGCUGAGGAAAAAAGUUUGAAAAUGCCUUGAACUAUUCACUGUCGAGAUGGCUAAUCAGUAUUGAGGCCGGAGGGCAGGCGGGCCGCCUUUCACCGCCGCUUCCCUUUCAUCUCGGGCUCGGCGGAGGCGCUCAAUUAAAAGCCUAUCAGUUUGUAAGUAAAUCAACGCCUAUCAGAGUUGUCACAUCAAACAAAACGAUUAUUAUUGCAGCCCGCCUCCCCUAUUAAUCUCCCUCGAAGAUAAUCCGCCUGACAGGUCAGGCCCGGCGAGCUGGAAAGCCUGGCCCAGAGCGUCCAAACAGUCCUGGACUGGCGCGCGCCCCUUGGGGCACCCCUUGUUCCCCGUCCCGCCCCGCCUCGUGGUCCCCCGGGAGUGGGGAGAGAAAGGGCGCGCGGAGGCCACUGGACCCAGGCCCGCCCCUCCGGACUGGGAGCCGAGCCGAGAUUCGCUGGGCUGGUGGGGGACGGUCCCCGGCGGCACUAGCCUCCUCUGGGGCCAGGGAGGUACCAGGCUUGCCGUUGCCAGCGCCUGGCCUGGUCCCUGGGCCUCACCAAGGCCUGCACUCUUCUCGGCUCAUCUCCUCUGAUUCUUCCCCCACCCCCUUGUCUUUUUUGUUUCCUCUUUUGCCUCUUUCUUGGCUCUCAGCCUUUUCUUCCUUUCCCCUCUCUUCAUUUGUACUUUUUCUGCUAGCCAGGGAAUGUUUACUGUUCUCUCUCCCUCCUCUCAGUAUACGGUAUAUACCACUUCAGCGCAACCAGAAUCUCUGAAGCAGGGCAUUCUCAGGGCCCGGGUUACUUCUCUGCGGCAGGGCUGCCUCAGGAGUGUGUGCAAUUCCCAGGAAUUCAGCACUAAGUCCUUCUAAUUUCUCCUCAAGCAGGGAUUGUCAGAAGCUCUGCGCCUGUUUAAGGGUUGAGUGUAUUUGGAGGAGUGAGGGAAAAAAAAAAAAAAAAAGACCAGGUGGUGAGAUGAGUGGAGGGUGGCAAGCUCCCUAUUCUAGAAUUAGCAUUUGGUGUUGGAAUUUCACAGCUGCAAUGUCUCUGGCCUAGCUGGUGGCGUUGCUUGGGCUUUGCAAAUAUGCGGGGGAGACCUAUGGGGCAUCUGGGCCUCUGUACUGAGUAUGUGAGGGGGUGCCUAACAUUUCAUAAGUAAAUACGCCCAGAUAACUGCUUCUAUAGCCUCAGCUGGCCUUCCAAGGGCCGGGCGCGGCUUGGAUUCCAUACGGGUGUGAAAUCGUGGCCUUCUUCGGUUUGGCCUCUGACUUCGAGUUUUGAGGUGCCUCGGAACCAAGCGAGACCCGCCCUGUUCUCUUUUACUCCAAACCGAUAGGCCUAAAUGCGCACUGCUCGAGCCUGGUGGAGCCAGAAUUAAGGUGUGCUUGAAGUGUCCGAGGGGGAGGAGCUGCCCGCAGGACCUGAGGCCCUGGUACCCGGAGUGCUGGCUUCAGCGCUUCGGAAUCUUCACGCGUUAUCUGGGAGAAUCCCCAAGAAUCGACGUAAUUUCUCUGGCUGCGGGUGCGCUGCGUGUAUCAGAAUAAAUCCAGCUCUCAGGCAUCCAGCAGGAAACGGAUCCCGGUUCCCGGGUGUGGAGGCGCCCCAUCCGCUCAGCUCAGGACGCGAGGUGGCUCCUCGUGCCCAGAAGGCUGCAGGUCUGGCUUCCGAGGGAGGCUGGACUAUCAGCGCCCUCGGCCUUAGCAGUCUCUCCCGGUCGGCAGUGCCCGGCAGCCCCCACCCUCUGCCGGGGCUUCGGAAACCCGCCCGGGCCGAGUCCGCCCGGGGCGAAAAUUGAAAGCAAAUUCCACGGCAGACGGAGCUCGAACUUUCUUCAAAGCAAGUUUACAGCAGAGAUUCGGUGGUCGCUUUGAGACGACAGCGCGCCUAAGGGGUGUGUCCGAGCGCCAAGUGGGGAGGUGGGCAAAGAGGGUACCUGGUGGCCGAGCUUGGUCCGCGGCGAAACGCGACGGAAGGCGCCUCCCUUUCCUUAUUUAUCGCCAACUUCUCGGGCCCUGCCCCGUAAAAAAUAGUUUCCAAGGUGCCGCGGACGCUCAGGAUGCGUUUAUGGGAAUCGCACCAGGGAAAAGGCGACUUUGUAAAAGUUGUCGAAAGCUUUGCCCACAAGCGCCCGCCCAGCGGGGCUCAAGAAAGCUUGGGACCAACUCGCCUUCUUCCGGGCAGAAUUGAGCCCCCUUGGAGAGUCCCCUGCCCAGCGCUUUCCCCUCACCUCGAAACCGCACGUGAAUAACCUCCUGCUGCCCGCACUGCCAACUUCCCCCCGCACUGCCGCGGUCGGCGGGCGAGGCCCGGACGCAGAGCCAGCCCGCAAGGCCGCUCGUCUGCCCGCUCAUCCCAGCCUUGAGAUAGGCUUGCGCGUAGAUGAGAGGAUGAGUGUGGUUCUGUCUCCCACUGGGCUGCCCACUUGCCUGCCCAGACCAUCACCGUGGACCUCCCAGAGCAGCGCUUCCCCUGGGGAGCGGUGGUCUUGGGGGGCUGACGAGGGCGCAAACUGCGCGCGCGGGGGGAGAGAGGGCGGCCGCCGGUCUCUCCGCGGGGCCUGUCGCCCGGCCGGCCGCGGCGGGUGAGUGAUGAGGGCAGAGAAGGGCGCCCAUAAAUCGCGGGUGUCAGGGCGAAAAACUCUCUUUAUUGUCUGCGUGAUGGAUGGGCCCGGGGACGAGACACCAAAUACUUCGUAUCGCCUUUAAAUGGGAACACAUUUUCCGCGGCCAUAAUUCAUGUUUUUUAAAUAGAAAGUUUGAAAUGUUGCCUAUAUUUCACCGGCCCUGACAUAUUUAUGAAUCGCUCCCUGCAUGCAAAUAUCAUUAUUUAAAGCGCCGGGGAGAGCUCAGGGGAGGGGAGCAGGCGCGGCCCCCGGGGCAUGGGGGUGAACCCAGGAGAAGCGAAUGGAUGGGGGGGGCUGCACACCAUCGUCCUAGAGUGCGGACAAUGAGGCGCAGAAGAAAGCGGUAUCCGGAAGCCCAGCGCCCUGGGGGGCUCCCCCCACAGCCGCUGGAUCCCUCACAGCAGCUCAGGGAAGUUUGCGCGGCUUGGGAUCCCUCCCCUUGCCGGGAGCCCAGGGGGCAUUUUGAGUCCUUCUCCGAGGCUCUGAUCCUAGCCACCUUUUCCAAGAAGGAAGUUAAAAAAAAAUAAUAUACUUUAACAAACGCAAAUAAUAACAACCAAAGUGUUUCA